rnacentral:rRNA from 1 species
UUAAAUUGAAGAGUUUGAUCAUGGCUCAGAUUGAACGCUGGCGGCAGGCCUAACACAUGCAAGUCGAACGGUAACAGGAAGCAGCUUGCUGCUUUGCUGACGAGUGGCGGACGGGUGAGUAAUGUCUGGGAAACUGCCUGAUGGAGGGGGAUAACUACUGGAAGCGGUAGCUAAUACCGCA